CAGAUUCACAGCAGAGAUGGUGAGCUUUGUAUUUGCAAAGAGUUCCUUUAGAAUUCAGGUCACAGUCCAAUGUCCAAAACUCAUAUUCAGGGUGUACCAGCAUAACUGGAACCUUGGUCUUGUCACUCAAACUUCUCCUGAUGAAGUCUAAGCAGAUCUCAGAUGACAGAUUCAGGACCCAAGGAUCUUUUAUACAAUUUCAUGUCUUUUGACAAGUUGGAAUUCCUCAGGGAACAAAAGGUAAUCAUUACGACUUUGAAGAAGGUCCAUCACCGAUACUUAGCUAUAUGAAU